CGCCCCCUAUACGUCAUCAUUGAGUAAACUUUGACCCGGAACCUCACAGUCAGCAGACACUUUCUGGGAGGGAGGGUCUGCUGCUGAUUGGGUGGAAUGUGUCUGCUGGCUGUGAGGUUCCGGAUCAAAGUUUACUCAAUGAUGACGUAUAGGGGGCG
rnacentral:miRNA from 1 species